AUUGAACGCUGGCGGCAGGCCUAACACAUGCCAGUCGAGCGGAUGAAGGGAGCUUGCUCCUGGAUUCAGCGGCGGACGGGUGAGUAAUGCCUAGGAAUCUGCCUGGUAGUGGGGGAUAACGUCCGGACACGGGCGCUAAUACCGCAUACGUCCUGAGGGAGAAAGUGGGGGAUCUUCGGACCUCACGCUCUCAGAUGAGCCUAGGUCGGAUUAGCUAGUUGGUGGGGUAAAGGCCUACCAAGGCGACGAUCCGUAACUGGUCUGAGAGGAUGAUCAGUCACACUGGAACUGAGACACGGUCCAGACUCCUACGGGAGGCAGCAGUGGGGAAUAUUGGACAAUGGGCGAAAGCCUGAUCCAGCCAUGCCGCGUGUGUGAAGAAGGUCUUCGGAUUGUAAAGCACUUUAAGUUGGGAGGAAGGGCAGUAAGUUAAUACCUUGCUGUUUUGACGUUACCAACAGAAUAAGCACCGGCUAACUUCGUG
rnacentral:rRNA from 1 species